ACUGUUCGGCUUCUCGCACAAACCGAUCGUUUCGUUUCUUAGGAUAUCAAUGUGUCGUCACGAGCGGCAGGGUUUAAUUUGGAUUUGUCUGUGCAUGUUUUUACUGUCUGAGAUUUUGUUACUAUUCACAUGCAUACAGACUGAAACGGUUGGAGUUUCUACAUUUGUGUUGUACUGAAGAAACAAAAUCACAUACAUCUUGGAUGGCCUCGGGGUAAGCUGAUAAAUACAAAAAAUUCAUUUUAAGAUGAAUCCCGUACGUUGGCGGCUGUUUUAAACUGGGUGCUCGGCUCAGACCCUUUUGCCAGUAUGAAGCCGAUUUCAACGGUAACUGCAGAAAGCGUCAGCACGCUCAGCUCAUCACUGGAGUAACGUCUGUACAACGGGUGAGAUAAAACUCAACGCCUGACUGAAUCAUCCAUUCCCUUUUCGAUCCUACGCCAUACGUUAAACUUGAGGUAAUCUUGCUUUUGCUGUUCUAAAAUAAACACUGCUCUUAGCACACCACCCAUACAUGGCACACAAAACAGGUCUUGUGAGGGGGCUGUGCCCACAGGUAGAAAUUCUGUGGGUCCACGGGCUUCUCCCCUUUCAGCGAACAUCACAGCGCUUAGUCCACCAUCGUGGUCUCCAAUCUCCAUUACCAACAGCCUGAGUGCUACACCUACAGACACCCCAACCCAUGCAGCAGCUGGCAGAAGUCAGACAUCAGGCCAAACUGGAUUUCAACACACCCCACCCUUACAUGGCACACAAGUAUAUGACACACAACACAGGUCUUCUCAGGAGGCUGUGCCUACAGAGAGCAGCAGUUGCAGACUUCACCCCAGACCCAACACAUUUUGGGCUCCCACUUUCAACUAUUGAGGAGCUACAAUGUUUGUAGGAGACAUUAAAUAAUCCAGAUGAGAAGAAGAAUUUGGUGAGACUGUUUUUCCUGGAAUGGUCGGAGACAAGACUCUUAAAGACACCGUGGGGUGGGUCCUGAAAAAAACAAUGAACUCUUCGUGGUGAGACUCAUCAAUUGAAGUGGGGUCAACUGAAGCCUGCAUUCAAAGGGCUCACUUUGAAAAGUGUGGUUUUGGAUGCAGUCCGCCGGAAUGCCCUGACCAAAGAUAACACAGAAAAGGAGAUAGAGCUCCUCAUCACCAGGUGGUCGGUGCUAGCAUAUGACAGGGAUGGUGGCCGAAUCCAGACAAUAGACAGACAAUGAAUUAAAAUGUUUUAAAUUUAAAAAUGUUGAUUUUUGGAAAAUUCGUAUUUGAACUGAUUGUGUGUGUGUGUGCACCUGGUAAUUAUCACGUUGUGUCCCCACAAAGAUAGGAAUACCAGUAUUUUUGUGACCUUGUGUCCCCAUGAGGAAACAAGCUUAUAAAUCAAACAAAAUGAUGUUUCUUGUAAAUGUGAAGUAGGAGAAGGGUUUCUGUGAUGGUUGGGUUUAGGGAAUGGGGUAGGUAAGGGGAAUAAAAUAUACAGUUUGUAUGGUAUAAAAUGCAUUACGUCUAUGGAAUGUCCCCACAAAACAUGGAAACCUGUUUGUGUGUACGAGAGAGAGAGAAUGUGUGUUCAAGUGAAUAAAAAAUGCAUUAAACGUGAAA